CACACUGGGACUGAGACACGGCCCAGACUCCUACGGGAGGCAGCAGUGGGGAAUAUUGCGCAAUGGGCGAAAGCCUGACGCAGCAACGCCGCGUGGAGGAUGAAGGCUCUUGGGUUGUAAACUCCUUUCAGCAGGGAAGAGAUUGACGGUACCUGCAGAAGAAGCCCCGGCCAACUACGUGCCAGCCGCCGCCGUAAGAC
rnacentral:rRNA from 1 species